rnacentral:piRNA from 1 species
UAUCUGGGUAAACUCUAAGAAUUUGGUGCAU